rnacentral:rRNA from 1 species
GAUGAACGCUGACAGAAUGCUUAACACAUGCAAGUCAACUUGAACUUCGGUUUGGGUGGCGGACGGGUGAGUAACGCGUAAAGAACUUGCCUCACAGCUAGGGACAACAUCUGGAAACGAAUGCUAAUACCUGAUAUUAUGAUUAUAUGGCAUCGUAUAAUUAUGAAAGCUAUAUGCGCUGUGAGAGAGCUUUGCGUCCCAUUAACUAGUUGGAGAGGUAACAGCUCACCAAGGCGAUGAUGGGUAGCCGGCCUGAGAGGGUGAUCGGCCACAAGGGGACUGAGACACGGCCCUUACUCCUACGGGAGGCAGCAGUGGGGAAUAUUGGACAAUGGACCGAGAGUCUGAUCCAGCAAUUCUGUGUGCACGAUGAAGUUUUUCGGAAUGUAAAGUGCUUUCAGUUGGGAAGAAAAAAAUGACGGUACCAACAGAAGAAGUGACGGCUAAAUACGUG